rnacentral:tRNA from 1 species
GCGGGUGUAGCUCAGCGGUAGAGCACUGGCUUCCCAAGCCAGUCGUCGUGGGUUCGAUCCCCAUCACCCGCU